AAGUUUUCCGAGAGUGGCAGUUCUCCCCUUAUUAGACAUUCUCUGCUGUCGCUUCACUCUGCUACUGAAGGAUCAGGCUGACUGCAACUGCUAUGGAUGGCAGGAAAACACCGUACACGUGAAUUUCUAGAUGAAGAGUGAAUAAAUGCACUUGCUUAACUGAUAA